UGCCAGCAGCCGCGGUAAAACGGAGACCUCGAGCGUUACUCGGAUUCACUGGGCGUAAAGGGUGCGCAGGCGGAUAGGUAUGUCAGGUGUGAAAUCCCAGGGCUCAACUCUGGAACUGCGCCUGAAACUACUUAUCUAGAGUCUCGGAGAGGUAAGUGGAAUUCCUGGUGUAGCGGUGAAAUGUGUAGAUAUCAGGAGGAACACCAAUGGCGAAGGCAACUUACUGGACGAGUACUGACGCUCAUGUACGAAAGCGUGGGGAGCGAAAGGGAUUAGAUA
rnacentral:rRNA from 1 species